rnacentral:rRNA from 1 species
GAUGAACGCUGGCGGCGUGCCUAAUACAUGCAAGUCGAGCGAACAGACGAGGAGCUUGCUCCUCUGACGUUAGCGGCGGACGGGUGAGUAACACGUGGAUAACCUACCUAUAAGACUGGGAUAACUUCGGGAAACCGGAGCUAAUACCGGAUAAUAUAUUGAACCGCAUGGUUCAAUAGUGAAAGACGGUUUUGCUGUCACUUAUAGAUGGAUCCGCGCUGCAUUAGCUAGUUGGUAAGGUAACGGCUUACCAAGGCGACGAUGCGUAGCCGACCUGAGAGGAGGAUCGGCCACACUGGAACUGAGACACGGUCCAGACUCCUACGGGAGGCAGCAGUAGGGAAUCUUCCGCAAUGGGCGAAAGCCUGACGGAGCAACGCCGCGUGAGUGAUGAAGGUCUUCGGAUCGUAAAACUCUGUUAUUAGGGAAGAACAAAUGUGUAAGUAACUAUGCACGUCUUGACGGUACCUAAUCAGAAAGCCACGGCUAACUACGUG